UACGGAGGGGGCUAGCGUUGUUCGGAAUUACUGGGCGUAAAGCGCACGUAGGCGGCUUUGUAAGUUAGAGGUGAAAGCCCGGGGCUCAACUCCGGAAUUGCCCUUAAGACUGCAUCGCUAGAAUUGUGGAGAGGUAAGUGGAAUUCCGAGUGUAGAGGUGAAAUUCGUAGAUAUUCGGAAGAACACCAGUGGCGAAGGCGGCUCUCUAGUACGGUACUGACGCUGAGACGCGAAAGCGUGGGGAGCGAACAGG
rnacentral:rRNA from 1 species